GUGACGAGUGGCGGACGGGUGAGUAAUGUCUGGGGAUCUGCCCGAUAGAGGGGGAUAACCACUGGAAACGGUGGCUAAUACCGCAUAACGUCGCAAGACCAAAGAGGGGGACCUUCGGGCCUCUCACUAUCGGAUGAACCCAGAUGGGAUUAGCUAGUAGGCGGGGUAAUGGCCCACCUAGGCGACGAUCCCUAGCUGGUCUGAGAGGAUGACCAGCCACACUGGAACUGAGACACGGUCCAGACUCCUACGGGAGGCAGCAGUGGGGAAUAUUGCACAAUGGGCGCAAGCCUGAUGCAGCCAUGCCGCGUGUAUGAAGAAGGCCUUCGGGUUGUAAAGUACUUUCAGCGGGGAGGAAGGCGAUGCGGUUAAUAACCGUGUCGAUUGACGUUACCCGCAGAAGAGCCCGA
rnacentral:rRNA from 1 species